CCAGACUCCUACGGGAGGCAGCAGUGGGGAAUAUUGGACAAUGGGGGGAACCCUGAUCCAGCGACGCCGCGUGAGUGAAGAAGUAUUUCGGUAUGUAAAGCUCUAUCAGCAGGGAAGAAAGAAAUGACGGUACCUGACUAAGAAGCCCCGGCUAACUACGUGCCAGCAGCCGCGGUAAUACGUAGGGGGCAAGCGUUAUCCGGAUUUACUGGGUGUAAAGGGAGCGUAGACGGCGAUGCAAGUCUGAAGUGAAAGGCGGGGGCCCAACCCCCGGACUGCUCUGGAAACUGCGUCGCUGGAGUACGGGAGGGGCAGGCGGAAUUCCUGGUGUAGCGGUGAAAUGCGUAGAUAUCAGGAGGAACACCGGCGGCGAAGGCGGCCUGCUGGACCGUGACUGACGUUGAGGCUCGAGAGCGUGGGGAGCAAACAGGAUUAGAUACCCCGGUA
rnacentral:rRNA from 1 species